UCAGGAGUUAUAAUAGUUAUAACUGCUGAUCCAAAGGAGGUAAAUGUCUAGGACACGCCUGAGACAUGAAAUAUCUGCUCUUCUGAGAUUUCACACAAAAGGACACACUCAUCAAAGAGAUACAUAUAGAAGUCCAACAGGAAACACUUGCAUCCAGGAUGUGAAGUCCUCCAAUUUCCUGGGUUGCUGUGCAGAAAGCUCUGGUUCUCUGGUCCUCUGUAUGUGACCUUGCUUCUUUCCUGUCAUGUUCUGGACUCCACAGUGCAGUGUACUGUUGUGGAUCUACAAUCAUCCCUUUCCUGGGCACUUGACUUCUUCAGUCUGAAAACUCAUGUCCUAGAAAGUUUCUGAAAUUAAUGAUUAUUUCUUCUUCUAUGUUUUCUCUAACCUCCUUCUAGAAUUGCUGUUAUUAGAAUAUUGACCUCUAUUAUUUUCUAUAGAAAAAUAAAUCUAUUUCUUUGAGGUUUUGCUCUACCUUCUACUACUUUGUUGUCCAAUGCUCUGAACUUCAUUUCUGCCAUCAUAUACUAAAUUUGUUUUGUUCUCUGAGUGAUUAUUGGGAUUAUCUAGGAUCCGUUAUUGCCUAUCUCCUUCUCCAUGCUUCCCCAGAGAGGAGCUUAGCAAACAGACCUGCUGAAAACUGCGUGAGUUUCACUCUUGGUCAAGUACCCAGGCUUGAAAGAAGAAAUCAUGGCUCAUGAGACACAAUGGAGUCUCACUGGAGUAUAAGCCAGCCGCCAGCAUUCAGCUGAGAAAUCAGACCAGAGGACUGGACUGCAUACUUGCUCUGGGUGACCAGAGGGCCUCCCCGUAUCCUGCCUUCCAGGUGCUUCCAGGUGACAGUGCAGCUGCUGUGAGUCCCUCCAUUUGUGGCCUGGUCCUUAUGCUCCAAAGGCCCCCUGGAUGUCUGUUGCUGUGGGACCAGGGGUAUACAUUUUGCAGGUGUGCAGCAGAUUGAGACACGGAAACCAGAAAAAUGGUAACAGGCUGUCAGAACGAAGUGCAGAGGUGGGGUCACCAGCAUCCAAGGUGAGCAGAUUCGGGCCCAGCAUGGCCUCCUGAGCCUGGCCUCCCCAGCACGGUGACCUUGGUUAAGCAGGAACCAUCGUUCUCCACCUUCCACUUUUGCACACAUCUAAUGAGCUGUUGGUUUUGGAUCAACAUUGAAUCUUCUACCCUCCUGCAGAUCCCCACACCCUGCCAGUGCCCCCCAGGGUGGCCAAGGGUGCCUGUGAAGAUGCAGGUGGUGGAGAGUUUCCCCAGAAAACAGUUGGUGAUCCCCACAGAGGUGGCAGGGUCGGUGCCUGUGACUGAGCUGCCACACCCAAGGAAAGAGUGAUAGCAGUGUGGUAUGGCACAGGACCACUGGAGGAAGACCCCCAAGGCUUGUGGGAUGCAUUCUGUCAGAUGGUGGCUGCUGAGCUGCUGGCACCCCUGCAGACCUGCCCUUUCCCAAAUGUCACAGGACAGAAGCUUACAGUGCUGUACUUUGGAGACUAGUUUCUUUCACUCAGAUAAAUGAACUCACAAUUUACCCAUUUGUAGCAUGCAUCACAUUUUUUCCUCUUUAUUACUGCUGUGAACACUGGGGUAGAGUGACUAUCAAUUCACAUGAGAAUCAUUUUGUUCUGUGAGAACACAGGGUUACUGGUGUGUUGGGUUUAACUUCAUAAGGAUCUGCCAACUCUUUCAGCAAGUGGCUGUGUAACUUCCCUCCAGCAAUGAGAGGCAACUUCUCUUUCUCUACACCCUUGCCAGCAGUUGUUGUGCUGGUUUUCAAAAUUACAUCCAUCUGCUUUUAUUUUAACUAUUCUCGCUGAUGCAAGUGUGGUUUAAAUUUGCAUUUCCUUAGUGAUGAGGUUGAGUACCUCAUUAUAGCUUCUCUGCUACUGAUUGCCUUCUUGGGUGAUAUAUCCCAUCAUAUGGUCUCCAUUUUUCAUAGACUGUCUCCUCGUUGUUCAGUUUUAAGUAUUCUCCUAAUAUCUCAGAACUUGUUCACAAGAGAUCUGAUUUGAAAAUGUUCCCUACCAGGUGUGUGGCUGAAUUUUCAUUCUCUCAGCUGUGUUUCUAAUAGAAGAGAAGCUGAUGCUGAAGUGCAGCCUGUCAUGGGCUCUUCUUUGAUGGAUUGUGCUUUGGGUGUCAUGUCCACAC